UACGGAGGUGGCAAGCGUUGCUCGGAUUCACUGGGUGUAAAGGGCAAGUAGGCGGUUUCGUAAGUCGGGUGUGAAAUCCCACGGCUCAACCGUGGAACUGCGCCCGAACCUGCGAGACUUGAGGACAGGAGAGGCGAAGGGAAUUCCCGGUGUAAGGGUGAAAUCUGUAGAGAUCGGGAGGAACACCAGUGGCGAAGGCGCUUCGCUGGCCUGUUUCUGACGCUGAGAGGCGAAAGCUAGGGGAGCGAACAGG
rnacentral:rRNA from 1 species